rnacentral:rRNA from 1 species
UGUAACGGGGCUAAACCAUGCACCGAAGCUGCGGCAGCGAACGUAUCACCCAAGACAACUUUACGGAGUUGACGAUUGACGGAGCGAAGCGACGUCAAAGCGUUCAUUAAAGUCGAGUUGGCUUAGGGAUACGUUCGUUGGGUAGGGGAGCGUUCUGUAAGCCUGUGAAGGUGGCCUGUGAGGGUUGCUGGAGGUAUCAGAAGUGCGAAUGCUGACAUAAGUAACGAUAAAGCGGGUGAAAAGCCCGCUCGCCGGAAGACCAAGGGUUCCUGUCCAACGUUAAUCGGGGCAGGGUGAGUCGACCCCUAAGGCGAGGCCGAAAGGCGUAGUCGAUGGGAAACGGGUUAAUAUUCCCGUACUUGGUGUUACUGCGAAGGGGGGACGGAGAAGGCUAUGUUGGCCGGGCGACGGUU